AGCCAUGUGAAAACCAAAUAUAAGACUAACAAUAACAAAAUAGUUUCUUACCACUUAAAAAAAAUCAAUAAAUAAAUAACAGGUAGGCUUAUCUGCAUCACUGAUUCACAAUUGAGGCCCCCAGGCGUCUUUAACUGAAGGGAAGGCAUAAGCUUGAUAGCUUCAGCCUACUCUCUGGAUCUAAUAGUGUGUGUUUUUGAUAGUUGUCAGGUUGUAAAUAU